rnacentral:rRNA from 1 species
ACGGAAGGCAGCAGUGGGGGAUAUUGCACAAUGGGGGAAACCCUGAUGCAGCGACGCCGCGUGAGUGAUGAAGUAUUUCGGUAUGUAAAGCUCUAUCAGCAGGGAAGAAAAUGACGGUACCUGACUAAGAAGCACCGGCUAAAUACGUGCCAGCAGCCGCGGUAAUACGUAUGGUGCAAGCGUUAUCCGGAUUUACUGGGUGUAAAGGGAGCGUAGACGGACGGCUAAGUCUGAUGUGAAAGGUGAGGGCUCAACCCUUAAACUGCAUUGGAAACUGGUCAUCUGGAGUGUCGGAGAGGUAAGUGGAAUUCCUAGUGUAGCGGUGAAAUGCGUAGAUAUUAGGAGGAACACCAGUGGCGAAGGCGGCUUACUGGACGAUAACUGACGUUGAGGCUCGAAAGCGUGGGGAGCAAACAGGAUUAGAUACCCUGGUA